rnacentral:rRNA from 1 species
UGCAAGUCGAGCGGUAACAGGGGUAGCUUGCUACCCGCUGACGAGCGGCGGACGGGUGAGUAAUGCAUAGGAAUCUGCCCGGUAGUGGGGGAUAACCUGGGGAAACCCAGGCUAAUACCGCAUACGUCCUACGGGAGAAAGGGGGCUCCGGCUCCCGCUAUUGGAUGAGCCUAUGUCGGAUUAGCUAGUUGGUGAGGUAAAGGCUCACCAAGGCAACGAUCCGUAGCUGGUCUGAGAGGAUGAUCAGCCACAUCGGGACUGAGACACGGCCCGAACUCCUACGGGAGGCAGCAGUGGGGAAUAUUGGACAAUGGGGGCAACCCUGAUCCAGCCAUGCCGCGUGUGUGAAGAAGGCCCUCGGGUUGUAAAGCACUUUCAGCGAGGAAGAACGCCUAUCGGUUAAUACCCGAUAGGAAAGACAUCACUCGCAGAAGAAGCACCGGCUAACUCCGUGCCAGCAGCCGCGGUAAUACGGAGGGUGCAAGCGUUAAUCGGAAUUACUGGGCGUAAAGCGCGCGUAGGUGGCUUGAUAAGCCGGUUGUGAAAGCCCCGGGCUCAACCUGGGAACGGCAUCCGGAACUGUCAGGCUAGAGUGCAGGAGAGGAAGGUAGAAUUCCCGGUGUAGCGGUGAAAUGCGUAGAGAUCGGGAGGAAUACCAGUGGCGAAGGCGGCCUUCUGGACUGACACUGACACUGAGGUGCGAAAGCGUGGGUAGCAAACAGGAUUAGAUACCCUGGUAGUCCACGCCGUAAACGAUGUCGACCAGCCGUUGGGUGCCUAGAGCACUUUGUGGCGAAGUUAACGCGAUAAGUCGACCGCCUGGGGAGUACGGCCGCAAGGUUAAAACUCAAAUGAAUUGACGGGGGCCCGCACAAGCGGUGGAGCAUGUGGUUUAAUUCGAUGCAACGCGAAGAACCUUACCUACCCUUGACAUCUACAGAAGCCGGAAGAGAUUCUGGUGUGCCUUCGGGAACUGUAAGACAGGUGCUGCAUGGCUGUCGUCAGCUCGUGUUGUGAAAUGUUGGGUUAAGUCCCGUAACGAGCGCAACCCUUGUCCUUAUUUGCCAGCACGUAAUGGUGGGAACUCUAAGGA